AAAUUUUAAAUGUAAAAUGAUAUAAAGAAGCUAUACUUUCAUAUAUUUUCUUUUUGAGUAAUACUGUGUGAAUCCAGCUACUUAAAAAUGUUACUUCAUCAUAAGAACUCUGGAGAACCUGUUCAAUGUGGUAUAAUAGAAACUCAAACUGGGUGUUCUUUCAUGUUUGACUUUUCAUGUGAACCAUUGGAUGGCUCUGCUUCAUUGGCUGCUAACUAGUAUAUACUCCACAUUUUUUUCUGCAACCACAAGAAGAAACUUCUUAACACACUGACCUUCAUCACUCGUACUUGGUAACAUCCACAUCUAACGUAACUUCCAACUCAGCUUUGUGAGUAAUAUACUUGUGCUGUGAAAGCUGAAGAGUACUAGAGGAAGAAGAGGGUGUGAUUGACUCUUUUCAAGAAUAAAGUGGUUGCUGUUUGUGAACAUGUAAGCAGUGAGUUCUGGACUGAACUGAAACUAAAGUGGAAUGAUAGAAAGAAAGAAUUUCUGAAAACUAAAACAACAAGAAUGAGCAUCAAGAAAAACAAUGGAGCCGAAAGGGUAAGGCAGUGAUUGCAUUCAAAGAGUUGUGGUCAACUGCUCAAUGUCCAAGUUGAGACCAGUGGGGUUCCUCAGGGAUCAUUAUUGGGACUGGUGCUGUUUAACCCCUUUCUCAGAGACAUGGACAGUGGGAUCAAGUGCAAGCUUGCUGGUGACACUGAACUUUGUGGUGCAGCUGAAAUGCUUGAAGAAAGGGAUGCCAUCCAGAGGGAUCUGGACAGGCCUGAGAAGUGGUUCCAUGUGAACCUUAUAGACUUCAGCAAGGUUCCCAGCUUGAGCUAAAAAACUGAUUACUGUAUAUUGGUGUUAAAUGUUUCAGAAGAUUGUUUGGAAAGAAGAAAUUCAGAGGCCUGUAUAACAGCAUCAGUGUAGCAGACCUCCUGUGUAUAUUUCAACCUAUUGGUCAGUGGCUGCUUAAUGACAUCACUGCCUGAUGCUGAAGGUCUGAUGUCAUGUUCCAAGUGACUCAUGCAGUCAGCAGUGCAGACUGAGGAAAUAGGAAGGUGAAUUUGGGAAGUGAGGUUGACAGGAAGCUGACACUGUGCUGAUAAAGGAAAUCAAGGUGUGAAAAUGGACAAGGAUUUGGAAAGGGCUUUGAGGUGUAUCUGUGCUGGAUAGAGGACUGAGUUACUGUCAGAUGUACUCUCCUGGGUAUAUAUUUGCACCACUCCUGUCUGACAGUACACACAAAAAGCUGCUUCCUGAUGCUGUUUAUCCAAAACCCCACCUGCUGUCAAGGGCAGUGCUGGCCGUGUGAAACAUCUUCACAGCCAUGCAGCAGCUGUACCUAGUAGGCUUGAUUUCUGCAAUGAAUUACCAAGGGUCUUUUUUGUUCAAGAGAUCCUCAAGUACUGUACUCUGGAAAAAAAGAAGAGUGUCAACAAUGUAUUUGAACAUUAGCUGCCAGCAAGCUGGAUGAAUGAUUUGCCUUUCACAGUCACUGAAUGUCCUGAAGUAUCCCUGACAAGGUUGCAGAGAGUGAGACCAAGAACAAGGCAACCAAGACCACCUGAGUUAAGAGUCCUGAUCAGCCAGUGAAGGAGCUUCUCCCUCCCUGCUGGAUGUGGAGACUACACAAAUGUUUGUGCUGGGAGGACACUGUGAGAACCAGGAUUGGAGAUGGAGUAGGAAUAGCUUCAGCUGGCAAAAGCACCACUGCUGCCAAAGCCUCAGCCCCAGGAAAGUGCUGUGAAAGCAAAGGCAAAGCUGAUCAAGUGACCAGAUAGGGUGUUGGCAGUGGAUCUACUUGGAGCAGGGUGUUGGACUAGGUGGAGGAGGACAGUGUUUGCCUUCUGUGGAGCUUUAUUCACCAGCAAGCUUGCAUUUAACUGCAAUUUUCACGUGUCUCACAAAAGAUUAUCACGAGUCCUGAGAAAUGUCAGCAAUGGGACUGUCACUUUAUUGUGAAGAAAAACAAAAAAGUGAAACUGAGGGACUUUCUGUCUCUAGUUUUAGGCUUAGUUUGUUAAAAACUGUUAAAUGGGGAGAUGAGCUGUUUUCAAAAGGCUUUUUGAUAAAAUGCAAUCCAAUGGUAAUGCUUCCAUGUUUUUCUCUUCCAUUUACACCACAGGGCUGUGGAAUGGGUAAUGAGGCAGCAUUCUGUUUCACCAGUCCUUAAAUCCUGAGAAAGCAAAAGAGAAAUAGGCUGUUUGCCUCCAAAGUGCUAACAGUCGACUCCAAAGGAUCCUUGAGCUUGUCACUGAUAGGAGAAUGCUCUUCUUCAAAUGGAAGAACCCUGUUUUGGGCUUUAUGGACUUGAGCACCAAUGCUGGCAAGAGUUAGAUUUUGCUGUGCAAUGAACUUUUCCCUGGGUAUUCAGAAAGAAUUUUCAAUAGCUGUGCUUGUUUACUCCCCAAAGCAGGAAUU